UACGGGGGGGGGCAAGCGUUGUUCGGAAUUACUGGGCGUAAAGGGCUCGUAGGCGGCCAACUAAGUCAGACGUGAAAUCCCUCGGCUUAACCGGGGAACUGCGUCCGAUACUGGAUGGCUUGAGUGUGGGAGAGGGAUGCGGAAUUCCAGGUGUAGCGGUGAAAUGCGUAGAUAUCUGGAGGAACACCGGUGGCGAAGGCGGCAUCCUGGACUACUACUGACGCUGAGGAGCGAAAGCCAGGGGAGCAAACGGG
rnacentral:rRNA from 1 species